ensembl:lncRNA
AUGCAAAAAUCCGACUGGCCCUCGACUGGUAACUCCGCAAAUACUAACGGAAACUGGAAUAACACCAUGGAUGCUCCUCAGUAUCCAGGCUACCCGUCGCACUACUGGUACCCCCAGUCUCAUUCCACGGGACACUAUGCGAAUCCCUACCCCUCGGGAUCAGACGGCCAGCCUCAGUACAAUCAACAGGUAAUGCCUGGAGGUUAUCCAAACGGCCACGGUGUCUACAGCCCGGCACAGAGUCAGUAUUCAACCAGUGGUUUCCACCCGUCCAACCCUUUCUACUGUGCUGACGCUCAAAGGCCAGCUCCGGGCUCUUAUCCCAACCAGGGCUGUCCUGCGGAGCAGAGCGGCGGGCCGUCCGGGCAGCCACACUCUCAGCACCAACAUCAUCACUACCCUGGUCCACACUGUCAAGGGGUGAGCAAAAUUACUUUUACGCCUAAAACAAACACAGCACAUUAG